GCCCCCCGCACCUCGCAGGCAGGUUUUCCACCUUCCCUUGCACGGGGUAAUGGCGUCAGAUGGCACGUAGGCCCGCCAAGCUAAAUCUGCCUGUGCACCCUUCCAGGGCCAGCAAAGCACCGCCAUAACCACAGUAAGGAAAAAGGAUCUCAGCCUGAAUUUGGCUAUACCGGGAGAAAGAAAAGUUCUGAGGAGCUGUUAUUAUAUAUUCUAAUGAGAAGUCAUUGGAGAAAUUAAAAAGGGCAGAGAAAGAUGAAGACGCCAGCACUAAUUCCGCAGGAAGCCUCCCAGGGAAAAGGCUGUGUGAGUGUGAACGCUGAAAAGCAUGAAGGCCUGGAAUUAGACUAUCAUUUAGAAAGCGUUACUAAUCCGAAGUUACAGCAGUAAUUCCAUGAUUUGCUGGGUCCCACACGCAGCGCCAGAAUUAAAGAUACGGAUUUUCUAGAAAUGUAACUCAACUGUGGCACCGAGUCUCGGCAAGAUCCGAAUGAAUCAUUCAUUCCAAAGGCAGCGAAAGACGUGUCAUUAAGAACCAACCUCCUUCUCUCCAGCCCAUCUGGAAUAUGUAUACUCGAUGCAAUCCCAGAAAUUGUGGAAGAGAUCGGAGAUCCCAGUGAGUGGACAAGGAACUUUUGAAGCCCGAGAGCCCCAACCUGCUUCUCCAUUGGCCCCAGAGAGGAAACAGCUUUGUUUCGUGAACACAGUGGAUUUCUGCAUCAGUUCGACACACAGCGGUUCAGCCAUGGGGAGGGAGCCAGGGCAGCGCAGGGAGCCAAGGGAUCAUCCCACGUCACUCCUGUAUGUUGCCUUCAGUGCCCUCAAUACCCCAGAGCAGGACCAAAAUGCUUAGGCAGAGAGACCUGAGCCAGUCACUGUCUCACCUGCUGAAAUACCAGGUGUGUGAAGUUUGGCUUUGCUCAUGGAGCAGAGCUCGGCCCUUGCUGCUCUUGAUCCCUGGGUCUGUGGAGCUGUGAAAGCGCAGCCUUCCCAAAGGCACUGUGCUUGGGGCCCAUGAGGACCAUGAGCUUUUCCAGGCCAUGCAGCCCUGCUGCUGUUGUACCGCACCCUCUCUGUUCCUGUAAGAGAAAUGUACUGCCUGUAAUUCUCUCCCAUUCAAAUCCUCCCAACCCCAUGCACUGUUGAAAAUAAACUCUCUCUUUUGCAAAAGCCA
rnacentral:lncRNA from 1 species